GAUGAACGCUGGCGGCGUGCCUAAUACAUGCAAGUCGAGCGAACAGAUGAGGAGCUUGCUCCUCUGACGUUAGCGGCGGACGGGUGAGUAACACGUGGAUAACCUACCUAUAAGACUGGGAUAACUUCGGGAAACCGGAGCUAAUACUGGAUAAUAUAUUGAACCGCAUGGUUCAAUAGUGAAAGACGGUUUUGCUGUCACUUAUAGAUGGAUCCGCGCCGCAUUAGCUAGUUGGUAAGGUAACGGCUUACCAAGGCGACGAUGCGUAGCCGACCUGAGAGGGUGAUCGGCCACCCUGGAACUGAGCCACGGUCCAGACUCCUACGGGAGGCAGCAGUAGGGAAUCUUCCGCAAUGGGCGAAAGCCUGACGGAGCAACGCCGCGUGAGUGAUGAAGGUCUUCGGAUCGUAAAACUCUGUUAUUAGGGAAGAACAAAUGUGUAAGUAACUAUGCACGUCUUGACGGUACCUAAUCAGAAAGCCACGGCUAACUACGUG
rnacentral:rRNA from 1 species